GAUGAACGCUAGCGGCAGGCCUAAUACAUGCAAGUCGAGGGGCAGCACAGGUAGCAAUACUGGGUGGCGACCGGCGCACGGGUGCGUAACACGUAUACAAUCUGCCCAUAUCAGGAGAAUAGCCCGGAGAAAUUCGGAUUAAUGCUCCAUAACAUAAUGAAACGGCAUCGUUUUAUUAUUAAAGUUCCGACGGAUAUGGAUGAGUAUGCGGAUGAUUAGCUAGUUGGUAGUGUAAUGGACUACCAAGGCUACGAUCAAUAGGGGUACUGAGAGGUUAAACCCCCACACUGGUACUGAGACACGGACCAGACUCCUACGGGAGGCAGCAGUAAGGAAUAUUGGACAAUGGUGGCAACACUGAUCCAGCCAUGCCGCGUGCAGGAUGAAGGCGCUACGCGUUGUAAACUGCUUUUGUACGGGAGAAAACCUAUCUACGUGUAGAUAGCUGAUAGUACCGUAAGAAUAAGCAUCGGCUAACUUCGUGCCAGCAGCCGCGGUAAUACGAAGGAUGCAAGCGUUAUCCGGAUUUAUUGGGUUUAAAGGGUGCGUAGGCGGACUUAUAAGUCAGUGGUGAAAUCUCGUUGCUUAACAACGAACGUGCCAUUGAUACUGUAG
rnacentral:rRNA from 1 species